UACAGGGGGUGCAAACGUUGCUCGGAAUUAUUGGGCGUAAAGCGCACGUAGGCGGUUUGUUAUGUCGGAUGUGAAAGCCCUUGGCUCAACUGAGGAAGUGCAUCCGAAACUGGCAAGCUAGAGUAUGUAAGAGGGUCGCGGAAUUCCCGGUGUAGAGGUGAAAUUCGUAGAUAUUCGCAAGAACACCAGUGGCGAAAGCGGCUACCUGGCCCAUUCUUGACGCUGAGGCGCGAAAGCUAGGGGAGCAAACGGG
rnacentral:rRNA from 1 species